rnacentral:rRNA from 1 species
AGAGUUUGAUCCUGGCUCAGAACGAACGCUGGCGGCGUGCCUAACACAUGCAAGUCGAACGGAGUUGAGGGGCUUGCUUCUCAACUUAGUGGCGCACGGGUGAGUAACGCGUAGAUAAUCUGCCUGAUGAUUUGGGAUAACACUUCGAAAGGGGUGCUAAUACCGAAUAAGCCCACGGAGUCCUUGGACUCUGCGGGAAAAGGGGGGGACCUUUAUCGGCCUUCCGUCAUCAGAUGAGUCUGCGUACCAUUAGCUAGUUGGUAGGGUAAAGGCCUACCAAGGCGACGAUGGUUAGCUGGUCUGAGAGGAUGAUCAGCCACACUGGAACUGAGACACGGUCCAGACUCCUACGGGAGGCAGCAGUGGGGAAUUUUGCGCAAUGGGGGAAACCCUGACGCAGCAACGCCGCGUGAGUGAUGAAGGCCCUUGGGUCGUAAAGCUCUGACAGAGGGAAAGAAAUGUGGGUGGCUAAUAUCCAUACCACUUGACGGUACCCUCAAAGGAAGCACCGGCUAACUCCGUGCCAGCAGCCGCGGUAAUACGGAGGAUGCAAGCGUUAUCCGGAUUCAUUGGGUUUAAAGGGUGCGCAGGCGGAAUAAUAAGUCAGCGGUGAAAGCCUACAGCUUAACUGUAGAACUGCCAUUGAUACUGUUAUUCUUGAGUGUUGUUGAGGUAGGCGGAAUGUGUCAUGUAGCGGUGAAAUGCUUAGAUAUGACACAGAACACCGAUCGCGAAGGCAGCUUACCAAGCAACAACUGACGCUCAUGCACGAAAGCGUGGGGAUCAAACAGGAUUAGAUACCCUGGUAGUCC